UACGUAGGGUGCGAGCGUUGUCCGGAAUUAUUGGGCGUAAAGCGCACGUAGGCGGUUUGUUAAGUCGGAUGUGAAAUCCCUCGGCUCAACUGAGGAAGUGCAUCCGAAACUGGCAAGCUUGAGUACGAAAGAGGGUCGCGGAAUUCCCGGUGUAGCGGUGAAAUGCGCAGAUAUCGGGAAGAACACCCGUGGCGAAGGCGGCUCUCUGGGACGGUACUGACGCUGAGACGCGAAAGCGUGGGGAGCGAACAGG
rnacentral:rRNA from 1 species